UAUCUAGUGUCGAUUUCCUUCUUAACGUUCUCAAGUCUCCAAAUCACUGGCAGAAAAGCUUACCAAAAUAGCAUGCCGUAUUUUUGUAUCAAAUAAAUGCCAUGACUUUAUAAAUUCUCCAACGUAUUUAUAAACUUCCAUAUAAUUCUGGACCAUGAUUAGGAAUCAUCAUGCAUUAGUAUUUUCGUUUGGUUGAAGGCAAUGAGCGGGUCUUGAACCGUGGGUGAAUAUUAGAACCACCCAAGGAAAUAAACAAAAAACAGAGCAAAACUCACAUAAACAAUGCCUGGGUCCCUUCCCAACCAGUUCUAUCAGUCUCUGGGGGAGAGGCCCAGGCAGUCAUGCUUUCAGAGCUCUUCAAAUGAUUCUAAUAGGGUUGAGAGUCACUGGGCCGUGGGUUUUUAUGCACCACAAAGACUCAACUGUUAGGCAUGAGAGCUGCGUUUGUCUUUGGAACAGCUUCAACAAAUACUCUGCAGUAAGUUCACCCCAGCUGUUCGAAAUGCAAAUCUUUAAAGAGAUGUCUAUAUUUUCUUUCUUUUAUUUUUUUCAAGGUUCAAAUAGACUUUACUGUUACUGGGGGGGGGCCUAUCAAACAGGGUCUUAUAAACCAAUAUGUGGUCCCAGGAUGUGACUAGGGAGAAAUUGAGAGGUCAUGAUGGCAGAAGAGGUCACCGUAACUGAAGGCCAUGGUCCUGGGGAGGCCAGCCAGGAAUGCAGCAGACAUGAUCAGGACAGGCUGGGGGUAGUCAGGUCACAAGGUGAGGGAGAGAACCCCUUCACUCCCCUGCUUUUGUAGCUCUCCAGGUGUGACAAGACCCAGCCCCAUGGCAGAAGGAAACAGAAAGCAGGAGGUGAACCCAAUGGCAACAUCCAAGGUCCUCAGCUGCUCCUGCGGCAACCUGAAAUGGAUCUGGGCAUGCAGCACCACGAGCCCCAGGCCGUGCCUGUCAGGCCCCUCAGCAGCGGCAAUGUCAGUGUGGACGUGACCGACAUGACGUGACCGCACCAGUAGACUGCAGACUCUGCCAGGCAAAGCCCAAGGUUGCGAACAAGAACACACCAAAAAACCCUGUUGCAGGGCGUCUGCACUCAGUGUACCUUCUGCUGGGAGGCUCGGCCGCACCCGGCUCCAUCACCACCUUCAGACCUUCGUUCAGCUGUCAGCUUAGUGAGGCUGCUUCUGACUGCCCUAUUCAAAACUAAGCAUCCUCCUCCCCUGCUUUUCUCCGCAGCAUGACCAUCACAUGACAUGUUACAUAUUUUGUCAGAAUCUAAACCCCAUGAGGGCAGAGAUUUUGCCCGUUUGUUCACUGCUGUAUGCCCCAUGCCUAGAAGAGGGCCUGGCCUAUACAGGUGCUCAGUAAGUACUUACUGCAUGAAUGAUGCUUAUUGCCACUGAACACCUCCCUCUUUAGACUGCAAACAAGCUAGUUCACCCUCCAGAGAGAAUACAGGUUAAGAUUAACAUUUACUGCUAAGGGCACAGCAUA
rnacentral:lncRNA from 1 species